AGAGUUUGAUCCUGGCUCAGAACGUACGCUGGCGGCACGCCUAACACAUGCAAGUCGAACGAAGUAGCAAUACUUAGUGGCAAACGGGUGAGUAUGAUGUGGGUAUCUGCCCUUUGGUAUGGAAUAACACGAGGAAACUUGUGCUAAUACUGUAUAAGCCUUCACAGGGAAAGCUUUAUGCGCCGAAGGAUGAGCCCGCACUUGAUUAGCUAGUUGGUAAGGUAAUAGCUUACCAAGGCAACGAUCAAUAGCUGAUCUGAGAGGAUGAUCAGCCACAUUGGGACUGAGACACGGCCCAAACUCCUACGGGAGGCAGCAGUGGGGAAUCUUGCACAAUGGGGGAAACCCUGAUGCAGCGAUGCCGCGUGAGUGAAGAAGGCCUUUGGGUUGUAAAGCUCUUUCGUCGGGGAAGAAAAUGACUGUACCCGAAUAAGAAGGUCCGGCUAACUUCGUGCCAGCAGCCGCGGUAAUACGAAGGGACCUAGCGUAGUUCGGAAUUACUGGGCUUAAAGAGCUCGUAGGUGGUUAGAAAAGUUAGUGGUGAAAUCCCAAGGCUUAACCUUGGAACUGCCACUAAAACUUUUUAACUAGAGUAUGGUAGAGGUAAGCGGAAUUUCUAGUGUAGAGGUGAAAUUCGUAGAUAUUAGAAAGAACACCAAUUGCGAAGGCAGCUUUCUGGAUCAUUACUGACACUGAGGAGCGAAAGCAUGGGUAGCGAAGAGGAUUAGAUACCCUCGUAGUCCAUGCUGUAAACGAUGUGUGCUAGACGUUGGAAAUUUAUUUUUCAGUGUCGCAGCAAAAGCGUUAAGCACACCGCCUGGGGAGUACGACCGCAAGGUUAAAACUCAAAUGAAUUGACGGGGACCCGCACAAGUAGUGGAGCAUGUGGUUUAAUUCGAAGAUACGCGCAGAACCUUACCAACACUUGACAUGUUUGUCGCGACUCUAAGAGAUUAGAGUCUUCGGUUCGGCCGGACAAAACACAGGUGCUGCAUGGCUGUCGUCAGCUCGUGUCGUGAGAUGUUGGGUUAAGUCCCGCAACGAGCGCAACCCUUACUUUUAGUUGCCAUCAUUUAGUUGGGCACUCUAAAAGAACUGCCAGUGAUAAGCUGGAGGAAGGUGGGGAUGACGUCAAGUCCUCAUGGCCCUUACGUGUUGGGCUACACACGUGCUACAAUGGUACUUACAAUGAGAUGCAAAGAGGCGACUCUAAGCUAAUCCCAAAAAGGUACCUCAGUUCGGAUUGUACUCUGCAACUCGAGUACAUGAAGCUGGAAUUACUAGUAAUCGUGGAUCAGCGCGCCACGGUGAAUACGUUCCCGGGUCUUGUACACACCGCCCGU
rnacentral:rRNA from 1 species